rnacentral:rRNA from 1 species
CGAUUCGCCCUUACUCCACGGGAGGCAGCAGUGGGGAAUUUUGGACAAUGGGCGAAGCCUGAUCCAGCAUGCCGCGUGAGUGAAGAAGGCCUUCGGGUUGUAAAGCUCUUUCCGGGAAGAAAGGUAAUACCGUGGAUGACGGUACCGAAUAAAAGCACCGGCUAACUACGUGCCAGCAGCCGCGGUAAUACGUAGGGUGCAAGCGUUAAUCGGAAUUACUGGGCGUAAAGCGUGCGCAGGCGGUUUGUAAGCGGUGAAAUCCCCGGGCUCAACCUGGGAAUUGCUGGACUGCGGCUAGAUUGCAGAGGGGGGUAGAAUUCCACGUGUAGCAGUGAAAUGCGUAGAGAUGUGGAGGAAACCGAUGGCGAAGGCAGCCCCCUGGGAAAUGACGCUCAUGCACGAAAGCGUGGGGAGCAAACAGGAUUAGAUACCCUGGUAGUCCACGCCCUAAACGAUGUCUACUAUUGUCGGGUUAAUUCUUGGUAACGCAGCUAACGCGUGAAGUAGACCGCCUGGGGAGUACGGUCGCAAGAUUAAACUCAAAUGAUUGACGGA